GAUGAAGAACGCAGCGAAAUGCGAUAGGUAAUGUGAAUUGCAGAAUUCAGUGAAUCAUCGAAUCUUUGAACGCACAUUGCGCCCCUUGGUAUUCCAUGGGGCAUGCCUGUUCGAGCGUCAUUUGUACCUUCAAGCUUUGCUUGGUGUUGGGUGUUUGUCUCGCCUUUGCGUGUAGACUCGCCUUAAAAUAAUUGGCAGCCGGCGUAUUGAUUUCGGAGCGCAGUACAUCUCGCGCUUUGCACUCAUAACGACAGCGUCCAAAAGUACAUUUUACACUCUUGACCUCGGAUCAGGUAGGGAUACCCGCUGAACUUAAGCAUAUCAAUAAGCGGAGGA
rnacentral:misc_RNA from 1 species